CGGUCGACCACUCGACCUGCUGCUAUGCCAUGUCCUUGUCCCCGAAGAGAACGCAUACGGAAAUUACGCUUGUCAUCGUUGACGACGCACCGCAGCCCACAUCAGCCUCAGCACCGGCGCCGUCUUCGUCGUCCGGCUGCAGCAGCGCGGGGGGCGGCGCUUCUUCGGCAAGCACCGAGCCGAGCGGCGCAAGCUAGCAAGGGUCAGCUAAAGAAACAGGAAGCAGCGGCCCGAGGCAGGCGACGUCGGCAGCCGUCAGCCGCCGCCGUGCACAUGCGGCGACCUCAAGGCCGACGUGGAGCUAAACACGGCGGUCAAGGCAGCCACCGUGGGCGUCAUGUCGUUGCUGUGUGCGAGUUAUGGUCAUGCUGCUCGUGUACCUGCAUGUCAGCGCCUCGGAAUCCGCCGUCGCCGACAUCGCCGGUCCCGCCAACUACAGCGACAUCGUGGUGCCGGAAAUCGAGGAGCUAUCAUAUAAUUGCUACCAAAAUAAAAAAAAAAGGACGUGC